rnacentral:rRNA from 1 species
UACGUAGGGUGCAAGCGUUAAUCGGAAUUACUGGGCGUAAAGCGUGCGCAGGCGGUGAUGUAAGACAGGUGUGAAAUCCCCGGGCUUAACCUGGGAACUGCGCUUGUUACUGGCAGGCUUGAGUGUGGCAGAGGGGGGUGGAAUUCCACGUGUAGCAGUGAAAUGCGUAGAGAUGUGGAGGAACACCGAUGGCGAAGGCAGCCCCCUGGGCUAACACUGACGCUCAUGCACGAAAGCGUGGGGAGCAAACAGG